GUUCUCGAUCUGGUGGUAAGUCAUUUGACAUAAAGGUGUUUGGCAUAAAGCCGUUAACAGCUGAUUAGAGACUAGAAAAGCCUCAAAAACCGACGUUGGGUUCUCAUAGUUUAAUUGGAACGACAUGUACUGUACAUGAUUCAUAACAUGGGAAGCCAUUUUAAAAAUAUAUCAUAAAUCUGAUAAUACUAGACCAUUACUGAUAUUGCAACAGAUUUCAUUUGAUUGGGUUUUUUCUUUUGUUUUCCUCAUUUUUUAUUCCCAAUCAAUAGCAAAGUUUUACAUACCCCCCUAAAUUAUCUAAAACCGAGUGUGAACAAUAUAUCCAAUCAACGAUAGAUCAACAGAUAACUAGCUGAAACACCCAACAUUCACUGAAAACUCCAAAAAAAUGUAGCUUUAAAUGUGGACAAUAAAAUGAUAGCCUUUUUGAAUACAUCAAAAUCCUACCAAUAAAAAAAAACAACACCCAAAAACAUGCGCUUAGUGCAUGCUCAUCA